rnacentral:rRNA from 1 species
UACGUAGGGGGCAAGCGUUAUCCGGAUUCACUGGGUGUAAAGGGAGCGUAGACGGCCAGGCAAGCCUGGAGUGAAAGCCCGGGGCCCAGCCCCGGGACUGCUCUGGGAACUGUCCGGCUGGAGUGCGGGAGGGGCAGGCGGAAUUCCUGGUGUAGCGGUGAAAUGCGUAGAUAUCAGGAGGAACACCGGCGGCGAAGGCGGCCUGCUGGACCGCGACUGACGUUGAGGCUCGAAAGCUGGGGGAGCGAACAGG